rnacentral:lncRNA from 1 species
UAACUCAAAGUCAUACUACUAUAUUAUUAAUAAAACUUGUACUCUGUUGAUAGUUGAGCUGCUAACAAUUCCCAGCACUUGGUGGGCAUAAAUAUAUCAAACACUUAGAAAGUAGGAUAUAUAGUAAACACAAACUACUUAGUUUCGAGGUCGUCAUCAUCACCAUCCUUGGAAGAGCAACAAAGAUUGGGUCUAAAACCCUUCUGCAGCAUCUUCUCCACUUCCUCGAACUGCAGCCCCUUGGUCUCCGGUACGAGGAAAAAUAUGGCAAUGAGUCCGAUGGUCGAAAAUCCGGCAAACAAUAGGAACGUCCCCGCCGGACCAAGUGUCUCCGUUAGAGUCAAGAACGUCUCACUCACAAUGAGAUUCGACACCCAAUUAGAUACCGCCGCAAUUCCCCCUCCAAUGCCUCUGUAUUUCAGAGGAUAUAUCUCCGAGUUGACGAUCCACGGCGCAGUUCCCAUCCCCGGCGAGUAAGAUAUGAUGUACAAACCCAAUAGAAGUACGGCGUAUAUCCCAAACUUGCUCGGACAACCUUUCGUGUACCACGUCCGACCUUCUGCCCCGCACAUGCCUUCCACGGUAUCCGUCACGGCCAAGCAUGCUCCAGCCUUGUACUAUUCACAUAUACAACGACGUCGUGUCAGAGCCAUGCAUAAUCUUAAAUUUUGGAAGAACAAAUAAAAAAAGAAAUACUUACUUUUCCAUUCGCACAGAAAGCGCAGUCGGAGAAGAUCUGAGGCAUGACAUGCAGUUCCAGUUUGAUGGCUGGGAGGCUUGCACAUACUUAUAACACGUGGCAUUUGCGCCGAAGUGGAGAGACUCAAGGCUAGUGACCGGCGGGGCAUGCUCGGAGGCUUCGUGGAAUANGGCCUGGGUCGACGGCAACCGGAUGCUACGGAGGCGAAAGGGAAUCGGGCGGCGGCAGCAGACGGAGGCGAAAGGGAUAAGGAAACAAUCUAAACAAAAGAACAAAAGUAUCGAUUAUUGAGUUAUAAUUGAAUUUUAAAUUGAAGCUCAUUAAAAAUAUAAUUUUAUUUUAAAUUUAUUUAAUCGAUGUGAAUCAAUCGCAGUGGACUAAACUUACUAAUCAUACAUUCAUAUUUUUUUGUGAAGAAACUGGAUGGAUUUGGGCUGAUGACCCGAAUAGAGGUAGAUUCGACUAUUAAAAUUUCAGUCCGACCAAUUUUUGGCCGGAUGGGUUUAGUGGGCCAGCCUGCCCAUUGUGCCACCUCUACUCUCUAGUGGGUUUCAGUCUUGAGUAUUUUUAUUGUAUUCUUGCCCACGGAACAUCUGCGAUCAAUUAAUUUAAUAUUAACUCAAAGUCAUACUACUAUAUUAUUAAUAAAACUUGUACUCUGUUGAUAGUUGAGCUGCUAACAAUUCCCAGCACUUGGUGGGCAUAAAUAUAUCAAACACUUAGAAAGUAGGAUAUAUAGUAAACACAAACUACUUAGUUUCGAGGUCGUCAUCAUCACCAUCCUUGGAAGAGCAACAAAGAUUGGGUCUAAAACCCUUCUGCAGCAUCUUCUCCACUUCCUCGAACUGCAGCC